AUUUCUGUUUGAUUCUUCUAAAUUAUUUCAAUCUUGUCGUUCAAUUUAUCUAAUACCAAUCUGAAUUCCUUCUCUGUGUUAUCUUGAAUUUCUCUGAGUUUCCUUAAAACAGCUAUUUUGAAUUCUCUGUCUGAAAAGUCACAAAUCUCUGUUUCUCCAGGAGGUUACUGGUGCCUUAUUUAGUUCAUUUGGUAAGGCCAUAUUUUUCUUUUGGGUAUUCAUUAGUGUCUGGGCAUUGAAGAGUUAAGCAUAUAUUGUAGUCUUUGCAGUCUGGGCUUGUUUGUAACUAUUCUUCGUGUCAAGACUUUACGGGUAUUUCAAGAAACCUGGGUGUUGUGACCUAAGUUUUUUGUCAUUGCAGCCAUAUUUGCAUGAGGGAGCACCCUAAGCCCAGUAACGCUGUGGUUCUUAUAGACUCAUAGAGGUACCACCUUGGUUGUCUUGGAUAAGAUGUGGAAGAAUUCUCUGGAUUACCAGCAGAGAGUAUUGCUUUCUUUUCUUACUUUCUCCCAAACAAAUGGAGUCUCUCUCUGUGCUGAGCUGCCGGAGCUGUGGGAGGGGUGACACAAGCACACCUGUGGCCACCACCACUGGGAGUGUGCUGGAUCAGAUCUGAAGCCAACACAGGACUGGGUCUUAUCCAAGGCCUGCGGUAAUCACUGCCUGGUGACCACUUAUGUUCACUCAAGGUACUGGGUCUCUACAAUCAACAGGUGGCAAAGCCCAGCCAGCCUUGUGUCCUUCCUUUCAGGGCAGAGAGUUCCCCCAGCCCUGGACAGGUCUAGCGGUGCCAUCUUGGAGCUAGUGCCUGGGGUUGGAAACCUUAGGGAUCUAUCUGAUGCUGUAAUCUACUGUGGCUCAGCUGGCGUAAAAACCUCAAGAUAAAGUUCUUAUGACUCUUCCCUCCCAUUUCCACAAGCAGAGGCGUCUCUCCCCAUGGCCACCAUCACCCAAGGCCUGUGGCAAGAACUGCCCAGCUGUCACUGAUGUUCACUCUUCAGUCAGCUUUUAGUGAAUGAUUCUCUUCCUGGGACUCUCCCUUCAGGGAAGUGGGCUCCCCUCUGACCCAGGGAAGGUCCAAAAAUACCAUGCAAGAGCCAAGACCUGGAAAUGGGGACCCCAAGAACGUGUCUGAUGCCUUACACCACUGUGGCUGCACUGGGUACCUAAGCUGCAAGGCAAAGUCCCCUUUACUCUUCCCUCUGUUUUUCUCAAGCAGAAGGAGUCUCUCCACAUAUCCACCACAGCUGGGAUUGUGCUGGGUCAUAUCUGAAGCUAGCACACAUCUAAGUCUCAUCCAAGGCCCACACCUGGUAAGAAAAAUCCACAUCGUGACACGGAAGAGAUGGAGGAAGAAGAGAAAACAAAAGGUCAGAGAUGUAGCCCUACAUAGCUGAUUUUAAAAGGAACUUAAAAUUUUACUUUGGCUAAAAUUGACCUCUCCUGUAAUUUAAUCCAAACCUCUAUUGCUUGUGUGUGGCCAAGUUCAGUAGUCUUUGGAGUCUCACUUCUCUAAUUAUCCAAAUGCAUUUGUUGAAGCCCCAUCCCCUGCCUCCUCCAAAUCCCUUAAUAGGUUUGAUUCUGCUCACUGCUCAUUGCUAUUUUCAUGGUGCCGCUGAAUUCCGCUCUCCUUCUCUGUUUCUAGCCUUUUCAACAUUGCUUUCUCCUCUCAUCCCUGGCAUGAAACACAGAUGCUGGUUAUUCAAUCUCUAAAGCACUGUUCUUUUAAGAAUAAACUUUUACUGAAGAAUGGGGGAUAAAAGAUGGAGCGUAAGCUCAGAACAGCACAGGGAGAAAAUGUACAAGUAAAACUAAGUUAUUUAGUUUAGAGCUUCUUGGUCAGACCCUCCUUAGUCCUGCUUGCCAAUUUGUGCUAGAUUAUUUUUUUCCUGGUGACUGUUUCCCGCACCUCUCCUCCCCAUUCAGGGACCCCAAAGCAUGUUCUUCAGUGACCAGGAAAAUAUUUUAUAUUCUUAAUACUUCAUUAUGGAGAAAAAUUUAUUUCAUUUUGUAUAACCACUGUGUGUUAGUUUCCCAUGGCUUCCUUAACAACUUACUACAAACUGGGUGGCUUAAAGCAACAGAAAUUUAUUUUUCUCAGUUUUGGAGGCCAGAAAUCUGAAAUCAAGGUGUCAGGAAGACCAUGCUCUUUUCAGAGGCUCUAGAGAAGAUUCAUUUUUCUGCCUCCCUCCAGCUUCUUGUGGCUCCAGGCGUUCUUUGAUUCUCCUUGGCUUGUGGCUGCAUCACUGAUUUCCGCUUCCGUGUUCAUGUGGCUCUUCUUCCGCGUGUCUUCUCCUUUCUCUUACAAGGACACUUCGUUGCAUUCAGGGCCCACUCAGGUAAUUCAGGAUGAUCUCAUGCCAAGACCCCUAAUCUAAUUACAUCUACAAAGAUCCCUUAUCCAAGUAAGGUCACCUUCACGGGUUCUGGGAAUUAGGAUUUAGGCAUAUCUUUUGGGGAGCCAUCAUUCAAUGCACGACAUAAUCUAAACAGACUCCAGUUUUCUCAGCUUUAACAGAGACAAUCAAUCAAAUAAGUUUUUGAUUUAAUUUAAAAAUAAAAACAGUAUUUCUGUCUCUCAGAAUAAUUCUGCAGCCCAGUUCUUAGAGCAAAUUACAGUUAGAUUUAAAAGAAUGCUUUUCUUCUCAUUUUAAAGAUUUCUCUUUAAAAAUUGUUAAAAUGACCUAACAUUUUAAAAGACGGAAAAGUAAUUGUAAUAUCAAAAACUUAACACAACUACAUAUUUAUACAAAUGCCUUUAUAAUCUUUGUGUAUAUGUGUGUAUAUAUACAUGUGAAUGUAUAAAUACAUACUUGUAAUCAUGAUGUACUUAACAACUGCAGAUUGUGUUUAAUCUUAGCAUAUUAAAUAAGUUUUUUCAAUGUUUUAACGUAUGUUUUAAUUUACCACUUUUUAAUUUUUUAAUCUUAAUGAUUUAAGAAAGUAUUAGUCAUUGUAGAAAAUACAAAUAAACUAAAAGAAAAAUGAAUCACCUGAAAUUCUUUUAAAAAAGAAAGCCAAUCUGGAGACACAUACAUCUGUUUUGUUUUGUUUUGUUUUGUUUUUUGAGACGGAGUCUCGCUCUGUGGCCAGCCGGGAGUGCAGUGGAGCGAUCUCAGCUAACUGCAGGCUCCCUCUCCUGGGUUCAAGUGAUUCUCUUGCUUCAGCCUCUUGAGUAGCUGGUAUUACAGGCAUGCGGCCCCACACCCAGAUAAUUUUUGUAUUUUUAGUAGAGACGGGGUUUCACCAUGUUGGCCAGGAUGGUCUCAAUCUCCUGACCUUGUGAUCCACCUGCCUCGGCCUCCCAAAGUACUGGGAUUACAGGCGUGAGCCACUGCACCCAGCCUCUGUAUUUUUUAAUUUAAUUAUAUCUUCAUGUUUGUAUGAAUCUAUAUCUGUAGCUGUAUCUACAUUUAUUUAGUUUUGGCUAUAACCCCAUUUCAGGAACUAGUUGACUAAAAAAUAAACUUCUAUUGUUUUUGAAUUAUUACAUAUUUUGUGGUCUUUUAAAAAGUACUGCAACCUCCUCUAUGAAUGAAUACACUUGUUUUUAUAAGUUUUGAAACAUAUUGUUGAAUGACAUUUCUCAAAGCCUAAGCACAGAUGAUAAUCCCUACUGCUUCUUAACCAAGAUUAUAAUGACAAUCUUAGAAUCAAAUGUUAUCAAUUUUAAUAUUUAUUAGAGAAUGUCUGACAACACUUUCUAGAGAUUCUCUUAUUUUAUCAUGUUGCCAAUUUUCCUAAAAAGUGUUAAGUGAGAUUGUUAAGGCUACAAUGGAUGCAAAUAAUGUUAAUACUAUAAUGAAUGCAAAAUUAUUAAUUUAACCAUUCUUCCAUCAUUAAACCUUGUAUAUAUUUCUAAUUUUUUAUUGUUAUGUUUAUACAUAUUGAUUUCUCUGCAGCUAAAUUAUUCAGUUACAUAAAUUUCCCAGAAAUGUGGGUAUUCAGGGAAAUUGUGGAAAUAAAUCUAGUCUUCAUACAGAUUGCAGUUUGCCUUUUAUAAGGGUUAUAUGAAGACAGUUUCAUCAGAGUAUAAGAGUAAACCGGUUUUACCUCAAGUUCAUUAUCAUUGUUGUAUUUUGAUAUUAACAUCAGUAUUUUUAAUAUAAAAGUAAUAGAAUUCCACCAUAAGAUUAGUUUAAUUGCAUUGCUUCUGUCUCAGAAUUGAAGUUUAUAUAAGUUCCUAAAUAGCUUUAAACUCAUUUAAUGUAAUUUAUUUUUGUCUACUUAUUUUUGGG
rnacentral:lncRNA from 1 species